AAUAAACAUAUAUACACAAUACUGUGAACAAACCAGAGUGUAUAAAACAUGUAAUAUAUUAUAUAUUUAGCAAUGAAUGUUUUAUCAUGGAAUAUUGCUAUUCAUAUUAAUAUCGAUGGAGAUAGUUGGAGUUAAGAGUACUGAUAGGCGAGCGGUGAAAUGCAUUGACCCUAUUAAGACUAACAAAAGCGAAAGCACUUAACUAGAUUAUUCUCUUUGUAUUAUUUUACAAUGAAGAGCGAAGGUUGGGGGAACAAAGAGGAUCAGAUACCCUCGUAGUCCUAUUUUUACAUCAAACUAUGGGAUUUCAUUCACACUAAACACUAAACAUUAUAAUUAUAAUUAUGAUUGAGUAUAUGUCAAAAUAUUACUCUCAUAUUAAAUAAUUAUUAUAUAUAUGAUUAUAUGUACUUUGAGCUCAUAUAAUUAUAUAGGUGAGAUGUAAGCAUUAUAAAGUGAAUAAUAUACAAGUAAUAUUGUAUUAUUAUGAUCUUUAAAAUAAAAAAUGUAAUGUGAUG
rnacentral:rRNA from 1 species